UACGGGGGGUGCGAGCGUUGUCCGGAAUCACUGGGCGUAAAGGGCGCGUAGGUGGUUUGAUAAGGGUGUGGUGAAAGUCCAGAGCUCAACUCCGGAUCUGCCGUGCCGACUGUCAAACUCGAGGGCUGUAGAGGCAGACGGAAUUCCGGGUGUAGCGGUGGAAUGCGUAGAGAUCCGGAGGAAGACCGGUGGCGAAGGCGGUCUGCUGGGCAGUUUCUGACACUGAGGCGCGACAGCGUGGGGAGCAAACAGG
rnacentral:rRNA from 1 species